rnacentral:rRNA from 1 species
AACGAACGCUGGCGGCAGGCUUAACACAUGCAAGUCGAGCGCCCCGCAAGGGGAGCGGCAGACGGGUGAGUAACGCGUGGGAAUCUACCCUUCACUACGGAACAACUCCGGGAAACUGGAGCUAAUACCGUAUACGUCCUUCGGGAGAAAGAUUUAUCGGUGAUGGAUGAGCCCGCGUUGGAUUAGCUAGUUGGUGGGGUAAUGGCCUACAAAGGCGACGAUCCAUAGCUGGUCUGAGAGGAUGAUCAGCCACAUUGGGACUGAGACACGGCCCAAACUCCUACGGGAGGCAGCAGUGGGGAAUUUUGGACAAUGGGCGAAAGCCUGAUCCAGCCAUGCCGCGUGAGUGAUGAAGGCCCUAGGGUUGUAAAGCUCUUUCACCGGUGAAGAUAAUGACGGUAACCGGAGAAGAAGCCCCGGCUAACUUCGUGCCAGCCGCCGCCGUAA